CAUUAAGAAGCUAUGUAUCAGCACUAGCCUUUUAAGCUAGAGAAAGAGGAUCCCUACCUCCUCCUUAAUGA
rnacentral:tRNA from 1 species